CGGAGCGGGCACCGGCACUGAGGGAAGGUGUGAGCUGCCGCCGAGGGUCCCAGGCGGAACGCGGGAAGGGAGCAGGCAAGGAGCAAAGUGGCGGCGGGAGCGGCAGCUGUGACCCCUGGAGGGGUUUAGUGUCCGGUCCACUCAAGGGAGAGUUUUAGACCAAGCAGGGCCGACUGCAUUUAUUAGACGCCCACAGCAUGCAGGGCGCUCCAAGAGGCUGGGGCGAGGAAAAUUAGAACCAAGUCUGCUACCCGCCGGGAACUUGUCGUAUUUCUGGCGAGGGAAGAGACAGCAUUCCCACGCCGAUGGUUCCAGCAAAGCCCCAGGAGUGCUGUUCCUGGUCUUGUAGUUGACGCCUCCAUCCGGGACUCACCUGGUGGAGAAAAUCGGGUUACCUGCAGAGUCCCGCUCUUUUCAGGUGCAGCCAAGGAUAGGGAGAUGAUACGUCUUAAAGAAUUAACAAGAUAAACCUUGGAGUAACGUAUGAAGAGUUGUUCAUACACUACUGUAUUUAUCUCAGGAGCAGAAAGAUAACAACUUUCUAAAGAUGUACCAUAUCCUUUGACCUUGUAACUAUACUGCUAAAAUUUUUUUUUUUAAGACAGGGUCUCCCUGUCACCCAGACUCACUGCAGUCCCAACUUCCCAGGCUCAGAUGAUCCUCCCACCUGAGCCUCUGCAGUAGCUGAGAUCACAGUAUGCACCACUACACCCCACUAAUUCUUUUAUUUUUGGUAAAGACACGUUUAGGAGGGACAUUUAGGUUUCUCUAUGUUGCCCAGGUUGGUCACGAACUCCUGACCUCAAAUGAUCUGCCUGCCUUGGCCUCCCGAAGUGCUGGGAUUACAGACCUGAGCCACCGCACUCAGCCCUAUUGUGUCCAGAAUUGGUGGGCUCUUGGUCUCACUGACUUCAAGAAUGAAGCCACAGACCCUGGUGGUUUAUUUAACAAUGUGAAGUAGUCCUGGGAAGUUGUACUUUGAGCAAGGUCCGCAAGCAGUAUUCCUGCACUUCUCCAGUCAUGCCCCAGCGCCAGGUCGGAAGCUGUCCACAUGCGGGGAUGGAGCCUGGCGUCCUGGGCCCACAAGGACAGGGCCCUGAAUAUGGACUUAGCAGAACAAAGUUGGGAAGGCAACUGCACUCACCCCUUGUGCCUCCUGUGGUACCUGCCCUUCACGGUUCCUGGUGGGGACACUCAGGCACCAGCUUCAUGGCUGGACUCAGAUGACACAACGCCAGGAAAAAAAGUAAAAGCCCCAUUACCCUUUCCAAUGCCUAGAUAAAAUAGAUGUCUAAUAAAAACCUGCUAAUAAUCAUUUAUUGUUUGUUUAUAUACAAUUAAAACAAACAUUAAAACAAUCAUUUAAAAA
ensembl:lncRNA novel transcript